ACAGUUGGUGCUUGGUGGUACAACAAUUGCUAUAGUUCCAAUCUUAAUGGAAAAUAUCGACAUAUGGCACAUGCCGACGGAAUUGACAGAAAGGGAAUGAACUGGGACCCACUUACUUCUAAACCAGAAAAAAAGUUUUUUCUUUCUGGGUCACGAAUGUUAGUUAGGCCAAAUAACUAAGAACAAUAUUAAAACAAAUUAUCAUUCAAAUUUGUAAUGCAUGUACUGUUCCUGUUUGGACACCAAGACUGAUCUUGAGGCCGAAAAUAGUACCAAGAAAACUCUUGCACAUAGCGUUUGGUCUACACAUCCAAAUGGAAAAGCGUCCUCGAUAUACUCAUUUUCAAUAAAUAUUAUAUAAGCGUUUUAAAUAUAUAAGUAACGUGUCUUCAAGUUUCGUAAAAUAAAUUACUGAAGCAGA
rnacentral:lncRNA from 1 species